rnacentral:rRNA from 1 species
UGGGGAAUAUUGGACAAUGGGCGCAAGCCUGAUCCAGCCAUGCCGCGUGAGUGACGAAGGCCUUAGGGUUGUAAAGCUCUUUUGGCGGGGAAGAUAAUGACGGUACCCGCAGAAUAAGCUCCGGCUAACUUCGUGCCAGCAGCCGCGGUAAUACGAAGGGAGCUAGCGUUGUUCGGAAUCACUGGGCGUAAAGCGCACGUAGGUGGGCAGUUAAGUCAGGGGUGAAAGCCCGAGGCUCAACCUCGGAAUUGCCUCUGAUACUGGCUGUCUAGAGUUCGAGAGAGGUGAGUGGAAUUCCUAGUGUAGAGGUGAAAUUCGUAGAUAUUAGGAAGAACACCGGUGGCGAAGGCGGCUCACUGGCUAGAUACUGACACUGAGGUGCGAAAGCGUGGGGAGCAAACAGGAUUAGAUACCCCCGUAGUCCCUGAGCGGGCUGGCAAGGCGCAU